CCUACGGGAGGCAGCAGUGAGGAAUAUUGGUCAAUGGACGAGAGUCUGAACCAGCCAAGUAGCGUGAAGGAUGACUGCCCUAUGGGUUGUAAACUUCUUUUAUAUGGGAAUAAAAUGUUCCAUGUGUGGGAUUUUGUAUGUAUCAUAUGAAUAAGGAUCGGCUAACUCCGUGCCAGCAGCCGCGGUAAUACGGAGGAUCCGAGCGUUAUCCGGAUUUAUUGGGUUUAAAGGGAGCGUAGGUGGAUUGUUAAGUCAGUUGUGAAAGUUUGCGGCUCAACCGUAAAAUUGCAGUUGAAACUGGCAGUCGUGAGUACAGUAGAGGUGGGCGGAAUUCGUGGUGUAGCGGUGAAAUGCUUAGAUAUCACGAAGAACUCCGAUUGCGAAGGCAGCUCACUGGACUGCAACUGACACUGAGGCUCGAAAGUGUGGGUAUCAAACAGGAUUAGAUACCCGAGUAGUC
rnacentral:rRNA from 1 species